rnacentral:lncRNA from 1 species
CGGUGGCGCCCCCGCGGCCUCCUGCGUCUCUUUCUGCCUGAGGCCGCCCGCCUUUGGGAUCUUCCCUCUCGGCUUUGUCCUGCGCCCGGCCUGGCGGGGGGUCUCCCGCCGCCCCAGGACCUGCAGACUGCCCUCAUUUUUUCCAUUCUGCUGGAGAAAACAUAAGAUUGUGUUCUUCAUUACCUACCUGCAGCUGAGGUCAUGUCGGAUUUUAGAGCAUGUACUGUGUUUGUGAUGGCCAUCUCUUAACUAUCAGAAUGGAACA